GCCAUUACAAGAUGGCGCGGUGGCGCGCGCCUGUAGUCCCAGCUACUCGGGAGGCUGAAGUGGGAAGAUCGCUUGAGCCCAGGAGUUUUGGGCUGUAGUGCGCUAUGCCGAUCGGGUGUCCGCACUAAGUUCGGCAUCAAUAUGGUGACCUCCCGGGAGCGGAGGGCCACCAGGUUGCCUAAGGAGGGCCCUUCCCCAGACCUGACCCCAUAUCAGCCGACGCCUUUUUUCGUGGGGCGGGGUGUAGACGUCCAACCCGCAUGCAAUAGGACAUGCUCUCCUU
rnacentral:SRP_RNA from 1 species